rnacentral:rRNA from 1 species
CCUACGGGGGGCAGCAGUGGGGAAUAUUGCACAAUGGGGGAAACCCUGAUGCAGCGACGCCGCGUGAGUGAAGAAGUAAUUCGUUAUGUAAAGCUCUAUCAGCAGGGAAGAAAAUGACGGUACCUGAGUCAGAAGCCCCGGCUAACUACGUGCCAGCAGCCGCGGUGAUACGUAGGGGGCAAGCGUUAUCCGGAUUUACUGGGUGUAAAGGGAGCGUAGUCGGGUGUGCAAGUCUGGAGUGAAAGGCGGGGGCUCAAACCCCGGACUGCUCUGGAAACUGUACGGCUGGAGUGCAGGAGAGGUAAGUGGAAUUCCUAGUGUAGCGGUGAAAUGCGUAGAUAUUAGGAGGAACACCAGUGGCGAAGGCGGCUUACUGGACUGUAACUGACGUUGAGGCUCGAAAGCGUGGGGAGCAAACAGGAUUAGAUACCCCUGUAGUC